rnacentral:lncRNA from 1 species
GUGGGGCCAAAGUUUGCCUCCAAGGAGCUCAUUGGUGGAUCUUUUUCCUUGGCAUGGGAGAUGUUAGGAAGAUCUGCUACUCUACCCAUUGAGUUGUGAUGGCGGUCAUCGGAGGCUGCUCUAGGAUCUCACUCCAUAAGAGAGUCUUAAACCUCUCUAAGGAUGGAUCUCCUCCCUCAGUGAGCGUAGCCUCUCGACCUUCCUUGGGAAUGCAUUGUGAAGGUGAGCAUGUCUCCAUGGAUGGUGGGCCGACAUCAUCGAGUCCUGCAUCCUUCAUUGCGUCGACCCGAUGUAGGGCUCCGGUAA